CAUUAAAAGUAAUAUAUAUUCAUUGGAAUAUACAUUUCAAACCCCUUGUCUAAACUACCUGUUGCUUCCGGCUGUUUGGGCUGUAUGGUUAGCUGUAUAGCCUGGCCGGAAGGUUGACAUAAAAUAUUGUAUUUAGAGUCUUCUGAAUUGUUAAAACAAAAGUUAAAAAACUUUCAACAACGGAUCUCUUGGUUCUCGCAUCGAUGAAGGACGCAGCGAAAUGCGAUAAGUAGUGUGAAUUGCAGAAUUCAGUGAAUCAUCGAAUCUUUGAACGCACAUUGCGCCUUCCGGUAUUCCGGGAGGCAUGCCUGUCCGAGCGUCAUCAAAAACCACUCAAGUAGUUUUGCUUGGUAAUGAAAGAAGAGUUUGCUUGCGGAUUCCCUUUCGAAAUUCAAUGGCGGAGAGUCUCAUGAUUCCGGCGUAGUAAUAACUUAUUCGCUUGGUCAUUGUAACAAUCCUGCCCCAAAUCCCCAAUUCUAGUGUUUGACCUCGGAUCAGGUAGGGAUACCCGCUGAACU
rnacentral:rRNA from 1 species